CAAUAGCGUAUAUUAAAGUUGUUGCAGUUAAAAAGCUCGUAGUCGGAUUUCGGGCGUUGGCUUCCGGUCUGCCUCACGGUACGCACUGGCGGUCGUCGCCUUUCCUGCCGCAGGCCGCCCUUCGGGGUGGUUCUCGGCUCGUUUACUUUGAGGAAAUCAGAGUGUUCAAAGCAGGCCUUUGCCAUUGUAUGUGUUAGCAUGGGAUAAUGGAAUAGGACUUUGGUGCUAUUUUGUUGGUUUGACCACCGAGGUAAUGAUUAAUAGGGAUAGUCAGGGGCACUCGUAUUCCGUAGAGAGAGGUGAAAUUCUUAGACCCACGGAAGACGAACUACUGCGAAAGCAUUUGCCAGGGAUGUUUUCACUGA
rnacentral:rRNA from 1 species